UACGUAGGGCGCAAGCGUUGUCCGGAAUUAUUGGGCGUAAAGAGCUCGUAGGCGGUCUGUCGCGUCGGAUGUGAAAGCCCGGGGCUUAACCCCGGGUCUGCAUUCGAUACGGGCAGACUAGAGUGUGGUAGGGGAGGAUCGGAAUUCCUGGUGGUAGCGGUGAAAUGCGCAGAUAUCAGGAGGAACACCGGUGGCGAAGGCGGAUCUCUGGGCCGAUACUGACGCUGAGGAGCGAAGCUAGGGGAGCAAACGGG
rnacentral:rRNA from 1 species